GAAAUGGCUUAGUCGAAAUUUGUGUGAAAUUUGUAACGGUAACAUUGCAUGUUUAAUUUGCCUAAAAUGAACCCGCUCCUUGAUAACCGUUACUCAUAUAUUAUGUACAUCUUCUAAUUCAAUAGGAAAAGUUGAAAACUAUAAACUGAGAGAGAGCAGAAACUAGGUACAGAGUAUAGCAAUGAGGGGAAGAAAAUGGUUAGGUUCAUUCCAACCAGAUUCACUUCCAUUGUUUCAGUUCGUUCGACCCUCAUCCUCUUUGAAGAGUUGUUGUUACUGAUAUAUGGAUCACAGGUGCAUGUUGUGCUCAAAAUUCAGUAUAGUUGGUGUUGGAAAGUCUGAGUUUUUUGGUCGGUGGUUUUGCUUAAGGUGUAGGGAUGGUGACUCCCCUUGGAUGUGGAGUGGAAACCACAUGGAAGAGGCUAAUAGAAGGGGAAUGUGGCUUAAGAGCAAUAUGUCCUGAUGACUUGAAGAUGAAUGGUUUUGAACAAGAUGUUAAGUUGUAUACAUUUGAUCAGUUGACAUCCAAAGUUGCUGCAAUUGUGCCCUAUGGUUCUAGCUCAGGCGAAUUUGACGAGCAGUUGUGGCUAAACUCUAAGCUGCUAAAACCCCGGAUUCCUCUGAGAAUCCCUGCAUUUAGGCUAACAUUGGUAUCAGACCCAAUAUAUCCUUGACAGCAGUGACAAAAUCAACAAGAGCUAAUGAGAGUUCUUCUAGUGAAGUAAGAGAGUUGCGUGAAGGGAUGCAGAAAAUGUUAUUGGAAGUUGGUACUCUAGCAAAGGAAGUUUCAAAUCUUAAAAAAUUGGACUUAGAUGAUGCUAGAGCGGAAGGAACAAAUGACAAGCAAUAUAAUGAAUCACAAGGAUAAAAUACCCACAAGAGAAGACAAAAUACCAGUGGGUGGAAGGCAGUCAAAGGAGCAAUCGCACAACAACUUCAUUAAUCAUAAUCCAUAUUACUCUCAAUGGUCGACAAUGUUCUUGAAGUUCUCUAGAAAAGAUCUUAAAUCUUGUUUGUGUAGAAUCGAUCAAUCGUUCAAUAUGGAGAACAUUCCUGUAAAGGAGAAGGUUAGCAUUGCUGCUCUACUGUUAGAAGGUGAAGCAGUUCGGUGGCACUUGUCCUUUAUGACAUUCAGGCAGUAAAUUCAACCACCAACUUGGAAUGAAUAUAAUGUAGCGUUAGUGGAAAGAUUUGGGGCAGAUUCUCCAAAGAAGCUAGUUAGUUUUGAAAUCUCUAAUCUUUCUCAUUUCUACCCACUGGAAACUUUUAUCAAGAAGACGUCAUAUACUUGAAAGGUUCUCGAUCAAAUGUCCAAAAGAGAUUUGGAUGUAGAUUCUCUCUAUUGUGGCACCACUGAAAGAAACAAUAAAACUGAAGCUUUUGAAGACUUGUUUUUGAUGCAUUCUUUAUAGAUAAUGAGAGUGAUGUUGAGGCUUUUGAAAUUAUGCAUCUUGGUUGGAUUUUCGUGAAUGAUGAGAGUGAUAUAGAUACAAAAUCCUUAGAUGACGGUGAUGGGAAAGAAGUGCUCUCGUGGCAAGCUCGCUUUGAUUUAAUUGUUUUCAAGAUCAUGACUUUGAGAGUGAUAUGAAAACUUGGGCCAAAAUCUGGCCAUGGGAAGAGAUUGAGAAAUCACUCGUCCUAACAGAGGAAGGAACAGAAGUGUGGGUUCUGAUUAGCAUGGAUUUUAUUGAUGGAUUGACUAAAUCACAUGGUCCUGAAGUAAACUUCGUAUGGUCAUUUUAUUUCCUUUAAAGCAUCCUUAUACUACUUACUCAGUGGCCAAAUUCUUCAUGGACUUUUAUAGUAAGGUUACAUGGUCUACCCGACAGUAUUAAAAGUGAUAGAGAUGUUGUGUUCCUCGGUAUCUUUUGGCAACAAUUGUUUCCCCUGCAAGGUGUUCAGCUGAAAACGUCAUCAGCAUAUCACCCCCAUAGUGAUGGCCAAAUUGAAGUCCUCAAUAGGUGCUUAGAAACCAAUUUGAGAUGUUUUUGUGCUGAGGAUGAUUGUUUGUGUAUGGCUGAAUAUUGGUAUAAUUCUUGCUAUCAUUCUGCUAUUGAUAAUACAUACACCUUAUGUGAGGCCCUUUUAUCAAUAGAGGGUUGAAAUUGGAACUGUUGAGACAUGAUAUGAUGAGAGCACAACUGAGAAUGGAACAGCAGGCUUGACUAUCAUAGAAGUGACAUGAGUUUUUAAUGUACCUCUCAUACAAUAUAAUUUGGAUUCUUUUUUUGUGUCCAAGCAUCCACUUGUAAUGUUUUUUUUCUCUGUAGUAUACAUGAUAUUGAGAAUCGAAUCAAAGAAAUUAUUUAAGAGUGAUUUGAUGAUAUGAACUCAUGGAAUUCUCUUAUUUAAAA